CAGUCGCCGCGGUAAUACGUAGGUCCCGAGCGUUGUCCGGAUUUAUUGGGCGUAAAGCGAGCGCAGGCGGUUAGAUAAGUCUGAAGUUAAAGGCUGUGGCUUAACCAUAGUACGCUUUGGAAACUGUUUAACUUGAGUGCGAGAGGGGAGAGUGGAAUUCCAUGUGUAGCGGUGAAAUGCGUAGAUAUAUGGAGGAACACCGGUGGCGAAAGCGGCUCUCUGGCUUGUAACUGACGCUGAGGCUCGAAAGCGUGGGGAGCAAACAGGAUUAGAUACCCCGGUAGUCCCUGUCUCUUAUACC
rnacentral:rRNA from 1 species